GUGUGACGUCCCCAGCCCCA
rnacentral:piRNA from 1 species